rnacentral:rRNA from 1 species
GAUGAACGCUGGCGGCGUGCCUAAUACAUGCAAGUCGAGCGAACGGACGAGAAGCUUGCUUCUCUGAUGUUAGCGGCGGACGGGUGAGUAACACGUGGAUAACCUACCUAUAAGACUGGGAUAACUUCGGGAAACCGGAGCUAAUACCGGAUAAUAUUUUGAACCGCAUGGUUCAAAAGUGAAAGACGGUCUUGCUGUCACUUAUAGAUGGAUCCGCGCUGCAUUAGCUAGUUGGUAAGGUAACGGCUUACCAAGGCAACGAUGCAUAGCCGACCUGAGAGGGUGAUCGGCCACACUGGAACUGAGACACGGUCCAGACUCCUACGGGAGGCAGCAGUAGGGAAUCUUCCGCAAUGGGCGAAAGCCUGACGGAGCAACGCCGCGUGAGUGAUGAAGGUCUUCGGAUCGUAAAACUCUGUUAUUAGGGAAGAACAUAUGUGUAAGUAACUGUGCACAUCUUGACGGUACCUAAUCAGAAAGCCACGGCUAACUACGUGCCAGCAGCCGCGGUAAUACGUAGGUGGCAAGCGUUAUCCGGAAUUAUUGGGCGUAAAGCGCGCGUAGGCGGUUUUUUAAGUCUGAUGUGAAAGCCCACGGCUCAACCGUGGAGGGUCAUUGGAAACUGGAAAACUUGAGUGCAGAAGAGGAAAGUGGAAUUCCAUGUGUAGCGGUGAAAUGCGCAGAGAUAUGGAGGAACACCAGUGGCGAAGGCGACUUUCUGGUCUGUAACUGACGCUGAUGUGCGAAAGCGUGGGGAUCAAACAGGAUUAGAUACCCUGGUAGUCCACGCCGUAAACGAUGAGUGCUAAGUGUUAGGGGGUUUCCGCCCCUUAGUGCUGCAGCUAACGCAUUAAGCACUCCGCCUGGGGAGUACGACCGCAAGGUUGAAACUCAAAGGAAUUGACGGGGACCCGCACAAGCGGUGGAGCAUGUGGUUUAAUUCGAAGCAACGCGAAGAACCUUACCAAAUCUUGACAUCCUUUGACAACUCUAGAGAUAGAGCCUUCCCCUUCGGGGGGGCAAAGUGACAGGUGGUGCAUGGUUGUCGUCAGCUCGUGUCGUGAGAUGUUGGGUUAAGUCCCGCAACGAGCGCAACCCUUAAGCUUAGUUGCCAUCAUUAAGUUGGGCACUCUAAGUUGACUGCCGGUGACAAACCGGAGGAAGGUGGGGAUGACGUCAAAUCAUCAUGCCCCUUAUGAUUUGGGCUACACACGUGCUACAAUGGACAAUACAAAGGGCAACGAAACCGCGAGGUCAAGCAAAUCCCAUAAAGUUGUUCUCAGUUCGGAUUGUAGUCUGCAACUCGACUACGUGAAGCUGGAAUCGCUAGUAAUCGUAGAUCAGCAUGCUACGGUGAAUACGUUCCCGGGUCU